CUCUUCCCCACAUUUCUUAUUUAAAUCCCUCUCUCUCCCUGAUAUUUUUUCCUCUCUCUUCACUUUCAUCACAUUCUCUCUCUCUCUCUCUUUCUUUCUCUCUCAACUUUUCUCAGCUUUCUCACAGUUUCUCUUUUAGGAUCCGUUUGGCUGCCGAGAAACCGUCGGAAUAUGACAGCAUAUAAAACAGGUUGCUGGCCCUAGCUUAGCUGUUUCAUACUGAUUGGAAGAGAAGCGGAGUGUGUUGGAAAGGAAAGCAGAUAUGUAUAUAUCUUCAGCAAUCAGUUUAAAUUUGGUCCACCAAGCUAUAGUUUGGACCCUGACAUUUUGAACGAGUGGCCAAUGAUGACCAAUAAUGCUGUGUUGUUUUAAAUAAACCAGCACUGAUCACUGUUGGAAUUAAAGCUCUGGAUUCUCUUGUGAUUUUUGGAUUGCACUAACAUUGAACUUCUGCCAGGUAAAUGGAAUAUGAUGUUAAAAACUGGUCCAUGCUUGUUUAUUAUGCCAGUAAUUAUUAUUGAAUAUUACCAACUUUAAUGUUAACGACUCUAGGGGUUUUUACUUCCUGAUAGCUUAAUGAUUUUUUAGGGGGCUAAGUAGUUUAGUCAGGUUCUAGAGCUGCAUUUGUAUCAUUAGACAGAGCAGUGUUGCAUAUUCUCAAGUAUCUGUACCUUUUAACCCAAUGUAAUUCAAGUUUUCUUCCAUGGAGCCAAAGUUUGUUCUGAUUAUCCCAGCCUCUAUGUGCAUAUUGUUUUAUCACUAUUAUUUUGAAUUGCAGUAUUCUCUGUCUGUUAAUGAAAAGAAGACCAUAUCUCUAUAAUUUAAUGAUCUUGGUGCGCUAUAACCUUCUUUAUUGCAGUAGAGAUCAUGCAAUCACUUUUUCUAAUUGUUUGUUUAAAAUUUUCCAAGGGAACAAGAAGGUAGGUGCUACAUUACCUCAUUUUUGAACUUCUUAAUUGAGUUGAAAUAUGCAGUUUUGUUUCAAGAGUAUUUUGUUUGAGAAACUUAUAUAGUUACGCUUACUUGUCUCGAAGUUACAUUCUUACUUUGGUACCUGCUAGUAUUGGUUC